UUUGGAACUGACGCUGAAGAUUCUUCAUGGAAUCUUACUUACGGUUAUUCAAAAGAUGACGGUACGAUAAGAAUUAACAGCCAUUGAAAAAGUAUAUGCUGUUGCUACGUUCCAGAUAAAACUGGAUAACCCUGAAAAUAGCCUAUAGAACCUGAACAAAACCAAUAUUUUAGUUCGAAAAAGAUAGCAGUAUUCUAGGAUUUGAGGGCCUGCCCUAAAGAAGAGGGGACAUCAACUUAUUCUCCAACGCACCAGAAGGCAAGACAAGAAACAAGGGAUGGAAACUAAUCAAGGAGAGAAGCAACCAGGAAUUAAGGAGGAACUUUCCAACAGUGAGGACGAUUAACCAGUGGAACAGCUGGCCUCCAGAAGUUCUUUCAUCACUGGAAGUUUUUAAGAAGCGACUGGACAGCCACCCAUCUGAAAUGGUCUCUUGCUUGAGCAGGGGGCUGGACUAAAAGACCUCCAAGACCCCUUCCAGCUCUCUUCUGAUUGAUCGAUUGUUAAGAGUUGAGCCUUCUUAAUAUUAAAUACUGGGAUAAAUGCAGAAUUGGUGUGGAAUACGCAACACAACACAAAAACUGCUUCUGUUCCACCUUACAGAGGGAUUAUUGAGUCUGUCAUCUGCACCUCUAUAACUGUCUGGUUUGGUUCUGCAACCCAACAAGACAGACACAGACGUCAGAGGAUAAUUAGAGCUGCAGAAAAAACAAUGGCUACCAACCUGUUUUUUAUAGAGGACCUGUAUACUGCACGAGUCAAAAAGAGGGCUGUGAAAAUACUUACAGACCCCUCGCAUCCUGGACAUAAACUGUUUCAUCUCCUACCCUCAAAAUGACGCUAUAGAGCACUGCACACCAGAACAACUAGACACAAGAACAGUUUUUUCCCGAACGCCAUCACUCUGCUAAACAAAUAAUUCCCUCAACACUGUCAAACUAUUCACUAAGUCUGCACUGCUAUUAAUCUUCUCAUCGUUCCCAUCACCCAUCUCCUUCCACUUACGACUGCAUGACUGUAACUUUGCUGCUUGUAUCCUUACAAUUUAUAUUGAUAUUGUU